AGAGUUUGAUCAUGGCUCAGAUUGAACGCUGGCGGCAGGCCUAACACAUGCAAGUCGAACGGUAACAGGAAACAGCUUGCUGUUUCGCUGACGAGUGGCGGACGGGUGAGUAAUGUCUGGGAAACUGCCUGAUGGAGGGGGAUAACUACUGGAAACGGUAGCUAAUACCGCAUAACGUCGCAAGACCAAAGAGGGGGACCUUCGGGCCUCUUGCCAUCAGAUGUGCCCAGAUGGGAUUAGCUAGUAGGUGGGGUAACGGCUCACCUAGGCGACGAUCCCUAGCUGGUCUGAGAGGAUGACCAGCCACACUGGAACUGAGACACGGUCCAGACUCCUACGGGAGGCAGCAGUGGGGAAUAUUGCACAAUGGGCGCAAGCCUGAUGCAGCCAUGCCGCGUGUAUGAAGAAGGCCUUCGGGUUGUAAAGUACUUUCAGCGGGGAGGAAGGGAGUAAAGUUAAUACCUUUGCUCAUUGACGUUACCCGCAGAAGAAGCACCGGCUAACUCCGUGCCAGCAGCCGCGGUAAUACGGAGGGUGCAAGCGUUAAUCGGAAUUACUGGGCGUAAAGCGCACGCAGGCGGUUUGUUAAGUCAGGUGUGAAAUCCCCGGGCUCAACCUGGGAACUGCAUCUGAUACUGGCAAGCUUGAGUCUCGUAGAGGGGGGUAGAAUUCCAGGUGUAGCGGUGAAAUGCGUAGAGAUCUGGAGGAAUACCGGUGGCGAAGGCGGCCCCCUGGACGAAGACUGACGCUCAGGUGCGAAAGCGUGGGGAGCAAACAGGAUUAGAUACCCUGGUAGUCCACGCCGUAAACGAUGUCGACUUGGAGGUUGUGCCCUUGAGGCGUGGCUUCCGGAGCUAACGCGUUAAGUCGACCGCCUGGGGAGUACGGCCGCAAGUUUAAAACUCAAAUGAAUUGACGGGGGCCCGCACAAGCGGUGGAGCAUGUGGUUUAAUUCGAUGCAACGCGAAGAACCUUACCUGGUCUUGACAUCCACGGAAGUUUUCAGAGAUGAGAAUGUGCCUUCGGGAACCGUGAGACAGGUGCUGCAUGGCUGUCGUCAGCUCGUGUUGUGAAAUGUUGGGUUAAGUCCCGCAACGAGCGCAACCCUUAUCCUUUGUUGCCAGCGGUCCGGCCGGGAACUCAAAGGAGACUGCCAGUGAUAAACUGGAGGAAGGUGGGGAUGACGUCAAGUCAUCAUGGCCCUUACGACCAGGGCUACACACGUGCUACAAUGGCGCAUACAAAGAGAAGCGACCUCGCGAGAGCAAGCGGACCUCAUAAAGUGCGUCGUAGUCCGGAUUGGAGUCUGCAACUCGACUCCAUGAAGUCGGAAUCGCUAGUAAUCGUGGAUCAGAAUGCCACGGUGAAUACGUUCCCGGGCCUUGUACACACCGCCCGUCACACAUGGGAGUGGGUUGCAAAAGAAGUAGGUAGCUUAACCUUCGGGAGGGCGCUUACCACUUUGUGAUUCAUGACUGGGGUGAAGUCGUAACAAGGUAACCGUAGGGGAACCUGCGGUUG
rnacentral:rRNA from 1 species